UACGUAGGGGGCAAGCGUUGUCCGGAAUCAUUGGGCGUAAAGAGCGCGUAGGCGGUCCGGUAAGUCCGCUGUGAAAGUCAAGGGCUCAACCCUUGAAUGCCGGUGGAUACUGUCGGGCUAGAGUCCGGAAGAGGCGAGUGGAAUUCCUGGUGUAGCGGUGAAAUGCGCAGAUAUCAGGAGGAACACCAAUGGCGAAGGCAGCUCGCUGGGACGGUACUGACGCUGAGGCGCGAAAGCGUGGGGAGCAAAAGGG
rnacentral:rRNA from 1 species